GACAGAGGGUGCGAACGUUGUUCGGAAUUACUGGGCGUAAAGCGCAUGUAGGCGGCCGCGCAGGUCGGGUGUGAAAGCCCUGGGCUCAACCCAGGAAGUGCACUCGAAACCGCGCGGCUCGAGUCCCGGAGAGGAAGGUGGAAUUCUUGGUGUAGAGGUGAAAUUCGUAGAUAUCAGGAGGAACACCGGUGGCGAAGGCGGGUCUCUGGGCCGAUACUGACGCUGAGGAGCGAAAGCGUGGGGAGCGAACAGG
rnacentral:rRNA from 1 species